UGGUUGUCGUUUGUUCAUUAGUGUUUCUCGUAUUUCGUUUUUUUCUAUAUAGAUUAGACCGUUGGUUUUUCCGUUUUAAUGGUUUUACCCUUACCAUUUUGGGCCCUUUAUAGCUUGCUGCUCGGUGUGAGCUAAGGCUCUUUGUUGAAGAAGUUCUUUGACCUGAAUGGUUUACUUUUACAAAUUGUGGCUUGGAUAGAGAGUCAUCUCAUUAGCACUCAUGUCAUAUCUUCUUAUAUCUAUUUACAAUAUCUAGUGAAUUAGUGUGUUUCACAAAGCAAAGCGCGCGAACUCGUCCAUACCUACAAAUGCUGGAUUAUUUAGGUUAAAAGAAACUUUGUACAUAAAUCAGGCAGCCAAUCAACAACACGUCAAGAGUACACACGCUGAAAUGUCUCACCUGCUUCACGAUCUAUGUUUGGUUGUAUGUGGAUAGUCAUAAAGAUAAAGUUUUACUACAAGUAUCUUAUAAACUUAACAUUAAGGAGUUUGACUACAGUGUCAGAACAGUACAAAGAAUUUCACCACAAGAUAUCAGGCAUCAAAUGUUUGCAUCUGUCCUAAGUCAGGAAUCUGGUGUACAGUAGUUGUCGUCUGUUUAUGUAGUUCAUACAUUUAGGAAGAAGGUACCAAGAGAAUAACAAAGAAGGAGGAAAACGACAAACAGACGAUCAACAUUCCUGUAACUGUAUACAAUCGCAGAAAAAUAAAUAAAAAAUAGCAGUCAUUGACAACACGAAUCCCGCGGAAAUCUGGAGAUGAUCUUGUGUGCUUCAAAAUUGAAAAUAGACCAUUACCAUAUAACCAAUUUUUCGAAUCCAAUUUAGCUGAAUAUUGAGUUAAAGGUGUAUAACAUUUAAAACAUUUAUGCAAGCUGUUUUCGGCUCAUUAAAAAAUUCAGUCUCAUUGAAAUAAAUAAAAUAUGAUCCGCAAUAACAUUAACACAUUAUCACCUAAUCCGAAACGUUUCAGCUCUGUUUAAUGAACGGUAGUUCAUGUAUAAAUAGUAUAUCGAAAUUAAAAGACGCUACUGCAAAGAUGUGAUGCACUAUUGUGUUGCUCUUUAUUGACUUAUGCAUGUUUCUGAUUUCCCCCGCCCCCCUUUUGGAUUUUUUUCUCCUCAUUUGUACCUGACCAUAAUUGAAUCUAUAUUAUAACACCGCCACGGCUGUCUCGUGGUAGCAUUUUCCUUCGUGUGUUGGAGCUCGUGGUUUCGAUAACUGUCAGGGUCAAACCAUAUUUGUUUGUUUGAAUUGUUUCACAUUUUUUAU